UACAGAGGGGGCAAGCGUUGUUCGGAAUUACUGGGCGUAAAGGGUGCGUAGGCGGCCCGCUAAGUCGAACGUGAAAUCCCCGAGCUCAACUCGGGAACUGCGUCCGAUACUGGUGGGCUUGAAUCCGGGAGAGGGAUGCGGAAUUCCAGGUGUAGCGGUGAAAUGCGUAGAUAUCUGGAGGAACACCGGUGGCGAAGGCGGCAUCCUGGACCGGCAUUGACGCUGAGGCGCGAAAGCUAGGGGAGCAAGCGGG
rnacentral:rRNA from 1 species